CCUACGGGUGGCAGCAGUAGGGAAUAUUGCUCAAUGGGGGAAACCCUGAAGCAGCAACGCCGCGUGGAGGAUGAAGGUUUUCGGAUUGUAAACUCCUUUUGUUAGAGAAGAUAAUGACGGUAUGUAACGAAUAAGCACCGGCUAACUCCGUUCCAGCAGGCGCGGUAACACGGAGGCAGCAAGGGUUACCCGGAAUCACUGGGCGUAAAGAGCGCGUAGGCGGGAUAGCAGGGCAGAUGUGAAAUCCUAGGGCUUAACCAUAGAACUGAAUUUGAAACGGUAAUUCUGGAGUAUGGGAGGGGGAGGUGGAAGUCUUGGUGUAGGGGUAAAAUCCGUAGA
rnacentral:rRNA from 1 species